CCUACGGGAGGCAGCAGUGAGGAAUAUUGGUCAAUGGCCGGAAGGCUGAACCAGCCAUGCCGCGUGAAGGUCAGUGCCCUAUGGGCGUUAAACUUCUUUUGUGCGGGAGCAAUAAUGGUCACGUGUGGCCAGACGAGAGUACCGUACGAAUAAGCAUCGGCUAACUCCGUGCCAGCAGCCGCGGUAAUACGGGGGAUGCAAGCGUUAUCCGGAUUUAUUGGGUUUAAAGGGUGCGUAGGCUGUGAGGUAAGUCAGCGGUGAAAUGCCCCCGCUCAACGGGGUGAAGUGCCAUUGAUACUGCCUGGCUGGAAUGCGGAAGCCGUGGGAGGAAUGUGUGGUGUAGCGGUGAAAUGCAUAGAUAUCACACAGAACACCGAUUGCGAAGGCAUCUCACGAAUCCGCGAUUGACGCUGAUGCACGAAAGCGUGGGUAUCAAACAGGAUUAGAUACCCGAGUAGUC
rnacentral:rRNA from 1 species